rnacentral:misc_RNA from 1 species
AUGACUAAUAUCAAAUCUGAACAAAAAGAAUCAGAAGAGCUUGUGCUACCCAAUGACAGACCACAAUAUGAACAGCGGGUAACAAAGCAGCCAACUUCCGGAAAGUAUAUUAUUAUUACAAUCACACUCAUAUCGAUUAUAAUUGUUGGAUUUGGACUUGGAUUGUGUGCCCAAAUUUAUUUCCAGGCUGAAAGUGACGAACAUUCAUUGAAUCUAUUUUGGAAUUUCUUGAAGCUUACGAUCUUGAUGGUGUGGACUUGUUUUGGAAAUGGCCGGAAGAAGAAUAUAGAGAUGCCUAUUUUGCAUUUAUAAAUCAACUGAGAAAAACAUUUGAAGCCAAGAAAAAAUACUAUAUUUUGUCCAUAGUAAUACCGCCGCCUACAUUAGAUGGAUGGGGAAAGAAACGAUUAAACAAAAUUAUAGAAAGUGUGGAUUUCAUUAAUGCUUACUCAACAGACUACUAUACUCCAUUAGCUGAUAACUUGUCAGAUGACAUUGCUGGUCCUUCAGCACCAAUUUAUUUUGGAGCACAGGGAAAAAGUGAACGGAAUGUUCAUCACACUGCAAGAAAUUACUCAUGUCUAACGAAGCAAGCUAGUAAAUUCAACAUUGUAAUUCCAUUCUACGCAACACUAUGGGAGAAUGUUUAUGAAACUGUUCUCGAUUCUAAACGAGGUGUCUAUAGACAUGUUGCACCAUUUUAUGGAAGAACUGUUGGAAAAACUUAUUUGUCUCGAUUGGCUGUAAAACAAGAAGGUUUUCAAGUAGAAUCAUAUUCGUAUGAUCCUGCACCAAGAGCUGCAUUCUCAUAUAAUAGAACAAUAGGAAUAUAUCUAACAUUUGAAACAAAAGAGAGCAUCAGAGCAAAAAUUGAUUAUGUGAAGGAUCGGAUUCUGGGUGGAGUAUGGAUAUUUUCAGUGGAUAUGGAUGAUGAAACAAAUAGUCAAUUGAAGGCGGUUUCCUUUGACGGGUUUUGUACUAUUGGAAAUGGAUCUAAAUAUGAAUGUGUAUAA